GGAAAUGUAGUCAAUAAUAUUGAAAUAUGUAUUGUAAUAACUAUGUAUACUGCUUGUUGGAUACUGGAAAUAUGAGGGGGAGCACUUUGUAAAGUGCAUGAUUAUCUAACCACUAUGCUGUACACCUGAAACUAAUACAAACUAAUAUGAAAUGUAAAUCAUAAUUAAAAA